rnacentral:rRNA from 1 species
UACGGAGGGUGCAAGCGUUAAUCGGAAUUACUGGGCGUAAAGCGUGCGCAGGCGGUUUGUUAAGUCUGUUGUGAAAUCCCCGAGCUCAACUUGGGAAUUGCAAUGGAUACUGGCAGGCUGGAGUAUGGUAGAGGAAGGUGGAAUUCCCGGUGUAGCAGUGAAAUGCGUAGAGAUCGGGAGGAACACCAGUGGCGAAGGCGGCCUUCUGGACCAAUACUGACGCUGAGGUGCGAAAGCGUGGGGAGCAAACAGG